rnacentral:rRNA from 1 species
UGGCUCAGAGUGAACGCUGGCGGUAGGCCUAACACAUGCAAGUCGAACGGCAGCACAGAGGAGCUUGCUCCUUGGGUGGCGAGUGGCGGACGGGUGAGGAAUACAUCGGAAUCUACUUUUUCGUGGGGGAUAACGUAGGGAAACUUACGCUAAUACCGCAUACGACCUACGGGUGAAAGCAGGGGAUCUUCGGACCUUGCGCGAUUGAAUGAGCCGAUGUCGGAUUAGCUAGUUGGCGGGGUAAAGGCCCACCAAGGCGACGAUCCGUAGCUGGUCUGAGAGGAUGAUCAGCCACACUGGAACUGAGACACGGUCCAGACUCCUACGGGAGGCAGCAGUGGGGAAUAUUGGACAAUGGGCGCAAGCCUGAUCCAGCCAUACCGCGUGGGUGAAGAAGGCCUUCGGGUUGUAAAGCCCUUUUGUUGGGAAAGAAAUCCAGCCGGCUAAUACCUGGUUGGGAUGACGGUACCCAAAGAAUAAGCACCGGCUAACUUCGUGCCAGCAGCCGCGGUAAUACGAAGGGUGCAAGCGUUACUCGGAAUUACUGGGCGUAAAGCGUGCGUAGGUGGUUGUUUAAGUCUGUUGUGAAAGCCCUGGGCUCAACCUGGGAACUGCAGUGGAAACUGGACAACUAGAGUGUGGUAGAGGGUAGCGGAAUUCCCGGUGUAGCAGUGAAAUGCGUAGAGAUCGGGAGGAACAUCCAUGGCGAAGGCAGCUACCUGGACCAACACUGACACUGAGGCACGAAAGCGUGGGGAGCAAACAGGAUUAGAUA